CAGCGUGCGCUUCAAGACUGUGACGUCACGUACAACUUCCUACCCCGUGGUCUUCCCACUGUUCUGUGGCUGACGUUUUCCCUCGCAGGUCGACAACUACAAACUAGGAGGAGCUUCUGUGAGAUGUACUGAGACGCGUGGAGUCUGCUGUGAGAUCUUCUACUGGCCGUGAUGACGUGUAGAGUGUGCUGUGAGAUCUUCUACUGGCCGUGAUGACGUGUAGAGUGAGUCUGCUGUGAGAUCUUCUACUGGCCGUGAUGACGUGUAGAGUGUGCUGUGAGAUCUUCUACUGGCCGUGAUGACGUGUAGAGUGUGCUGUGAGAUCUUCUACUGGCCCUGAUGACGUGUAGAGUGUGCUGUGAGAUCUACUGACCAUGAUGGCGUGUAGAGUUCUCUAUAUCUACUGGCGAUGGUGAUGUCGAUCCAAGGUCUCCCCAUAGCAAGGACAAAUCGAGCAGAGAUGGAGACAAGCUGUCUCGAGGCAAGUCUGGCACACAUCACCUACUGCUCCAGCUGAGACAUGUCAUGCCGGACAAGAGAUGAGGAAGUAACAAUAGUAUAAACAAAAUAGAACAUGAGCUUUCAAUUUGUUAAAA